GGGGAUGAACGGUCUCGACGGGGCAGGCUGUUCUUCGAUGGCAGGCCGUAGAGCGUCGACUACGUAAAAAUAGGCGCAAAACUAUAAAUGCCAAGAACACUGGCAAGGCUUUUAACUUCGGCUUCGUUGCGGCUCCGGCUGCACUCGCCGCCUAAGUUAGGCCAAACCUGAUCCCGGUAGAACGGGGUCGCGGCCCACCUUGAUGGCGCAGCCAGGUCAGGUGCAAGCCGACACAACUGGAGUGCUGCGGCGCCGUACGCCGGUAGCGGCGCCAAAGUCUAACCGGCUAGUCUGACAGCGAAUCCUGUCGCACGGAGUCCGUCAGGCGAAACUAAAUGUGUGACUAAGCCUGUAGAUGUCCCUGGGCGAAUGUUUCGGACGCGGGUUCAACUCCCGCCAUCUCCACUU
rnacentral:tmRNA from 1 species